rnacentral:rRNA from 1 species
AACGUAGGUUCCGAGCGUUAUCCGGAUUUACUGGGCGUAAAGCGCGUUCAGGCGGUUCGGCAAGUCGGGCAUGAAAUCUCUCGGCUCAACCGAGAGAGGUUGUCCGAUACUGUUGGACUUGAGGGCAGUAGAGGGUGGUGGAAUUCCGGGUGCAGUGGUGAAAUGCGUAGAUAUCCGGAGGAACACCAGUGGCGAAAGCGGCCACCUGGACUGUACCUGACGCUCAAACGCGAAAGCUAGGGGAGCGAACGGG